CUUAGAGUUUGAUCCUGGCUCAGGACGAACGCUGGCGGCGCGCCUAACACAUGCAAGUCGAACGAGCGAGAGAGAGCUUGCUUUCUCGAGCGAGUGGCGAACGGGUGAGUAACGCGUGAGGAACCUGCCUCAAAGAGGGGGACAACAGUUGGAAACGACUGCUAAUACCGCAUAAGCCCACAGCUCGGCAUCGAGCAGAGGGAAAAGGAGCAAUCCGCUUUGAGAUGGCCUCGCGUCCGAUUAGCUGGUUGGUGAGGUAACGGCCCACCAAGGCGACGAUCGGUAGCCGGACUGAGAGGUUGAACGGCCACAUUGGGACUGAGACACGGCCCAGACUCCUACGGGAGGCAGCAGUGGGGAAUAUUGCACAAUGGGGGAAACCCUGAUGCAGCGACGCCACGUGGAGGAAGAAGGUCUUCGGAUUGUAAACUCCUGUCGUUGAGGAAGAUAAUGACGGUACUCAACAAGGAAGUGACGGCUAACUACGUGCCAGCAGCCGCGGUGAAACGUACGUCACAAGCGUUGUCCGGAAUUACUGGGUGUAAAGGGAGCGCAGGCGGGAAGGCAAGUUGGAAGUGAAACCAUGGGCUCAACCCAUGAACUGCUUUCAAACCUGUUUUCUUGACUAGUGCACAGGUACGCGGAAUUCCCGGUGUAGCGGUGGAAUGCGUAGAUAUCGGGAGGAACACCAGUGGCGAAGCCGGCCUACUGGGCACCAACUGACGCUGAGGCUCGAAAGUGUGGGUAGCAAACAGGAUUAGAUACCCUGGUAGUCCACACUGUAAACGAUGAUUACUAGGUGUUGGAGGAUUGACCCCUUCAGUGCCGCAGUUAACACAAUAAGUAAUCCACCUGGGGAGUACGACCGCAAGGUUGAAACUCAAAGGAAUUGACGGGGGCCCGCACAAGCAGUGGAGUAUGUGGUUUAAUUCGACGCAACGCGAAGAACCUUACCAAGUCUUGACAUCCUGCGACGGUGCUGGAAACAGUACUUUCCUUCGGGACGCAGAGACAGGUGGUGCAUGGUUGUCGUCAGCUCGUGUCGUGAGAUGUUGGGUUAAGUCCCGCAACGAGCGCAACCCUUAUGGUCAGUUACUACGCAAGAGGACUCUGGCCAGACUGCCGUUGACAAAACGGAGGAAGGUGGGGAUGACGUCAAAUCAUCAUGCCCUUUAUGACUUGGGCUACACACGUACUACAAUGGCGUUAAACAAAGAGAAGCAAGACCGCGAGGUGGAGCAAAACUCAGAAACAACGUCCCAGUUCGGACUGCAGGCUGCAACUCGCCUGCACGAAGUCGGAAUUGCUAGUAAUCGCAGAUCAGCAUGCUGCGGUGAAUACGUUCCCGGGGCCUUGACACACCGCCCGUCAAGGCGAAUUCGCGCGGCUAAUCAUCGCCCAA
rnacentral:rRNA from 1 species